AAGCGGGAAGUUUCUCGCUGUGGGACAGGCUCAAACCUUGUGACAGUCGCCAGCGCACAGCCCGCCACUUCACUGCAGCAACGGAAGAACAAUCGAAGUGCAUGGUGAUUGUACUCGGUGCUCAGACAGUUGAUACCAACACGGAUCACGACUUGUUUCAGCUAAGUCUGUGCUGACGACAGGCGGCCAUGUCCAGGAACAGCAGUCUGACGGCGGACGAGGCGGGCAUCAGUCUCACGUGUCCGGUGUGCCUGGACAUGCUGACGUCGCCUCGUUUCUUGCCGUGUCACCACACGCUGUGCACAGACUGCAUCUCCGACUUGAUGGAGCGCGCCGGCCCAGCCCCUCACUUCCUGUGUCCGCUGUGCCAAAGCCGCGUGGCCAUCCCCGACGAAGGCGUGCACAGCUUCCAGGUCAACUUUUACCUUGCACCCUUGCUUUCCGGCAAAGUGCAGAUCAGCACAGCCGGAAGCUGCCAACAGUGCCUCAGAGUGGGUGAAGGCGGAAUGACUGGCGUGGCAGGUGCACGGAAAUCUGCUGCCAUGUCUGUGGGCACGGCGGUGGCCACGUGUGUGGAGUGUCGCUUGGCCAUGUGCCGCGAGUGCGUGCAGGCGCACCAAGAGCAGCCGCUGUACGCGCGCCACCAGUUCCGCUCGCUGACUAACUGCGACACCUCAAGAGCCGGCAUCUCAUGCGAGGGUCAUGCAAGCCAAGAGCAGUUGGCCUUCUACUGCAAGACGUGCGACGCGCUGGUGUGUCGACCCUGCAAGGCCUUCGAGCAUCCCAACCACAGACUGGUGGGUGUGGCAGUGGAGGCUGAAGCGCAAAGGUCGGAGGUGAGGAGGCAGCUCAUGAGCCUGUCCACGCUGCGAGGGGCGCUGGUCAGUCUGCAGGACGAGGGGACUGUGCGCGCGGACACGCUGCAGACCAGCUGUCGGGACAUUCUCCACACGCUGGACACCACAGAGAAAAGGCGUGCACUCAAUCACUGCCCGCACGCAUGCCACGGAAUCCAGCUUAAAAGAAAGUGAGAGACAAACUUCUGCAAGUCAUCACUGAGGAAAAGAAGAAGAUACAAGAGAGAAUUACUGCCAUAUCUGAACUGCUCGCCUUGGCCAACGAGGAAGUGAAUUCCAGCGACGCCACUUCCUGUCGAAGAAGGCGAGACUAGUGUCAGGAUCCAGAGCGUCAUGGCCAGAAUGCCGGCAUCGCGAGGAGACUUAGAGUUCUCCUUUAAGAUGAGCGCCGAAAUCAGUUUCAUUGUUGCGGCAGGACAACUCUUUCGGCUACAUGACCGUGCAGUUCCAGGUCCCGAUCCUUCGCCAUCGCUUCAGCCUGACGUCGACGAAGCAGCACCGGAAACUGCGCAAGAUCUCGCCGCGCUCGGACGGCCGAGUGUGGGCGUCGGUGGGCAACGUGCUGGUGGACAUCUCCGAGGACCUGGUGGAGACGAAGCGGCUGGAGUUCCCCACUGAGAUCUCCGACUUCGUGCCGGCACCCGACGGGAGCGUGUACGUGGCACUGGUCUUUCCACAACCCGUCAAGAUCCUCCUGCCCUCCGAACAGGCCUGCGACUUUGCCUGUCCGCUGGUGCCCCCGGGUGCCAUGGCACUCACCGACAAACAUGAGCUGGCAAUGGCCGCCAACGACGGGAAGGAACUCUCGCUGACUUUCUACACGCACAGUGGCGCCAGGUCGAGGAGAGUCAGCCUCCCUAGACCCGACUUCUUUCCUACGUCUAUGACAUUCACCAAACGCGGACAGGUGUUUUUGUGCAGUUCUGCGGAGAUCCUCUGUCUAGAUGCCGACUUCUCGGAAGUUGCUUGCCUGUGUGACGACGACUCCUUACAGGCCAGGGCCAUCAGCACCUUGAGAGGCGUGGGGUCCGGAGUUGGCGAUGUUCUGAUGGCCAAUGGUUCAAACGGAAGUGUGGAGGUUUUGGAGCUGGUUGGAAACACGCUAGAGCGCAGGCGCAACCUCAUCGAGGGCAGACGAGGGCAAGACUGUGACGUCACACCACCCGAAGGGGAGAGCCACAAUAUCAGUUGCUGCGCCGUCGACCGCUCUGGGCGACUGUGGGUCGGAGAGGAAGAAGGACAUAUCACGUUUACGAUUGGUAAUGCGCUUAAAGUGAUUUAUGCACGGGAAAAGUCCGCGAUUAACUUCAAAUCUCAACCCACAGUCGCAGCCUGUGACCUAUGGCAGGACAAUAACUCGAUGUGUCGGAAACUGCUCUAAUUAGUUUGCCGUCCAUUUAACCAACUCUGAUCUCUCACAACUGCUGCCAAACAUGAGUCUGAUGGUGCUGUAGUAUGUGUAAACAGUACUAUCAAUAAUCAUGAUGCUGUAUUAUGUGUCUGUACCACAUGAUUUACACUGUCAGCGUCAUGGUGCUGUACUAUGUAUUAUGAAAUGUUCCAUGAAUUUAAUAAGUAUUGUGCACCUGUUGAUAUUACUUUGAUGGUGUAUUAUGAGUAAUGGUUUUUGAACAAUGAGCCUGAUGAUGCUGCAACAUGAAUUUAGUGUGUUGAUGGAGCUGCACUAUGAUGUACUAAUGCUGCUGUAUUAUGAGCCUGAGUAGGUGAGGGGGGGGGAUGUUUUAUGGUGAUCCAGCAACUAAGGCUAUAUCCCAGCCACCCUGUAAACAGAUGCCUUAUGCAGAAAAAGAACAGCGUACUCGAGGCAAGAACUGAACUCCAGACAAACUUCACGGUUGGUUAUGAGCCUGAUGGAGCUGUUAGCAAUAAUUGUAUUUACCAAGGGUCUUCUGGUCUUCUAAGUUUAUUAACUAUGCAGCUAUCGACUUCCUACAGAGAAUACAAUUACAGUUAGAGUCACUGCUGGAAA